CGCCGUGCUGGACUUGGCGAAGAAGGAUGGGAUGAUGGCCACGGUGGGAGAGACCAUGGCCUUCCUGCCGAACGCCUCCAUCAUGGAAACCACGGCGUACGGCGUCCAGCACACCAGGAAACAGGAAAUCAUCAGUCUUCAGAUGCCUGACGGGUUUUCUGUGUCGGGAAAAGCAGGCCAGCUGCUCUGGAGUGAAAUCUCUGCAGCGUUCAGAGUGGGGUUUUUUUUUUCUUUGAAGAUUUUGCCGGAUCGCCGUGAAGUGCGAUGAGACUCCUCUCGGGCUUCGGCGCCAUUCUGGGAAUUUUCUGCAGCUCGAAUUCGGGGGCCUCAGAGGACGGAGCUGCUCACACUUUCAGCAAAAUGACUGUUGCUGAAUCCGUCCCAGACGCAUGUCGCCUGGCUCCAGAUCCACCUGCCUUUGACGCACGACGCAAACGUGAAGUUUAUCCCGA